UAUUUUUGUGACUUGAGAACGUCGUCUCCCUCUUUCUUUCCAUUUCCUUAGCGGCCGCCCGAGGCGUCGCGGGGCAAUGCCGGUCGGCCGCUUACGCCUAUAAUUCCUCCGUUGGCUCCUCAUAUUUUUCUCAACGAUAUCGAAUUAAAUCCUAAGAUUUAAUUGAGCACAUGAAUUAAUUAUCGAAGAUGUUUUCCCUUGCAAUGUUUAUUUCGGACUUGGGAUAAAUCAUUCAUCCUUCGAAAUAUUCCAAAAAAUUAACUAACUAAUUCUCAACAAUUAAAUUAUCGGCCCAAGGAUUAAUUACUUGACCCAAGAUAAUUGUUAUCUUAGUCCACCUUAUUUCACCAAUUUAUUUAGUGAGGCCAAAAGAAAAAUAGCCCAAAUUAAUAUAUCCCCAUCCUUAUUUCUCCAUUUAUGUAAUAGUGCCCAACUAAAAUUGGUGUUGUGUACCUUACUAAUUAUUCUACAAAAACAUAACAACUUGGAUCAUAACAAAUCAUUUUAUCUUACUUAACCAUUUGAUUUAAGCCUAGAAAUAAUUAAAUUUGAAAUCGAACCUCACAUUCACUAUGCACUGCAGCCCCAAUUUGUUUAUAAGUGCUCGAAUUCAUGUUUACAUAGUCCAAACUUCCAUUCAAUUAAUUUGUCUCAUCUCAAAACAAUUUGUAAACUUUGUGUAGUCCAGCUUCUAACUUGAAGAAGGAAACGGACUCUCCCUAUCUCAAGUCAUCCCCAAAAGGUUAAUAUUGAUUUCACUAAACUUAGUGUGAUUCGAAAUAUUCCACUAGUCUAAUAUAUUUGCUAUUACACAUGUGAGACAAAUCAUUAUCGGGCCAAAGAAUUAACAUUUUAGAGCCCAAAACAAUAAUAAUCCCCAACCCAAAAUAAUUUGAAGGAGCCCAAGUCAAAAGUGAUUUAAGAAAAAGAUAAAACAUGAAAACAUGGAAGUAUUCUCCCAUUCCCUACGCAAGUCUACUCCCUUCCUUCAGUUUUCACUUUUCACUUUUCACUUUUCACUUUUCACUUUUCACUUUUCACUUUUCACUUUUCACUUUAACCCAAUAAAUAUUAUAGUAGGAGUACUAAAUAAUUAAACGAGAAAAUCAAAUACUCCCUUAACCCCCCUAUGCGUAUCUCUCUCUUCUCUCUCCCUCGCGUUUUUUUUUUCUUUUCUCCCCAAAACAGAAUCCGCCGAUUUUCUCCGAUUCGCCGUGGUGCAAGAAUCGACGUUGCCGUCGACUCCGAUCUCUCUCUCUCUCUCUCGAUUUCCACCGCCUCACAUCACCGCUGCUCCACCGCCCCAGCCCCCUUCUCUCCUCAAUCUGCCGCCGCCGUCCCUUCUUUCUCUCCAGCUUCGCCGCCGCUCGCCAGCGUCGCCGCUCCGUCGGACUCCCGAAAGGUUGUGAAAUUAGUGACGUAUCGGAGUGGGGGCUGUCCUUGGUUGUCUCCGGGCUGCCGAAGAGCCGUCGCUGGAAAUCCGGCAGAUUCAUGUUCAAGAUAAGAUUCUCAAUUUAUGCUUACCCUGGUUGUAGGACUUAGUUGUCUAUUUUAUAAAUUUGGUGAAUUCCGGACAAUUGUGUGUCUUCUUGGAAGACUUAAUGGUGAAACAAGUAAUUCUUGGUGUUUAUUGUUAA